rnacentral:rRNA from 1 species
UUGCAGUCAUAUCAUAUUGAAACACCAGUCCUCGUACAAUCACUGAAGUUAAGCAACAUUGAGCCUUGUCAGUACCUAGAUGGGUGACUGCUUGGAAACACUAGGUGCUGUAAG